CUGAUUUAAGGACACGUGGUCGCGCGGGUCGCUGAGCGGGGUGAUUGGGAGCAACAUAGGUUGCAUCCAGCUUUGGAGGGAAGAUGGAGUGAGGAUGAGAACGAGCCUGGCUAUCUCCCUUGAUCAUCUUCCUGAGAGAUUUCCCAUCUGUGGCGAACAGGAAGAACUUUGCUGGUAAAAUCAGUGUCAGCGAACCGUAUUCAGAUGGGUGGUGAUCACGGUGAUCAUUUUUCUUAAGGUUGCGUUCAAACUUCCUUUCCUUAUAUAUCUACUUUGGAAAUCCAAGAAGCCACCAAUGAUGCUGUAGCUGAACUGAGCCUUGGGCAAAGGAAAGGGUAGCCGGGGAGUGGGUGAGGGUCCCAGUAAAACCCUGAUCCUAAUAGUAAUUGAUGGCGUUUAUUUCUUUGUACUGUUUUUCAAACCUUCUUUAAUGUUAAGGCUAAUGAGUUCCGUAGAUUCUUUCAGUUGUGCAAUUUCUUAAUACACUGCUGUGUUCAAGGG